rnacentral:rRNA from 1 species
GUGCCAGCAGCCGCGGUAAGACGAACCGUGCGAACGUUGUUCGGAAUCACUGGGCUUAAAGGGCGCGUAGGCGGUUGAUCAAGUCUGGGGUGAAAUCUUUCGGCUUAACCGGAAAAGUGCCUUGGAUACUGGUCAGCUGGAGGGAGGUAGGGGCAGUUGGAACUUCCAGUGGAGCGGUGAAAUGCGUUGAUAUUGGAAGGAACGCCGGUGGCGAAAGCGAGCUGCUGGACCUCUUCUGACGCUGAUGCGCGAAAGCUAGGGGAGCAAACGGGAUUAGAAACCCUCGUAGUCC